GAUGAACGCUGGCGGCGUGCUUAACACAUGCAAGUCGAACGAAGCACCUUAUUCUGAUUUCUUCGGAAUGAAAAAUUUGGUGACUGAGUGGCGGACGGGUGAGUAACGCGUGGGUAACCUGCCUCAUACAGGGGGAUAACAGUUAGAAAUGACUGCUAAUACCGCAUAAGACCACAGUACCGCAUGGUACAGGGGUAAAAACUCCGGUGGUAUGAGAUGGACCCGCGUCUGAUUAGGUAGUUGGUGGGGUAACGGCCUACCAAGCCGACGAUCAGUAGCCGACCUGAGAGGGUAACCGGCCACAUUGGGACUGAGACACGGCCCAACCUCCUACGGGAGGCAGCAGUGGGGAAUAUUGCACAAUGGGGGAAACCCUGAUGCAGCGACGCCGCGUGAGGGAUGACGGCCUUCGGGUUGUAAACCUCUUUCAAUAGGGACGAAGCGUAAGUGACGGUACCUAUAGAAGAAGGACCGGCCAACUACGUGCCAGCCGCCGCAGUAA
rnacentral:rRNA from 1 species